GAUGAACGCUGGCGGCGUGCCUAAUACAUGCAAGUCGAGCGAACAGACGAGGAGCUUUCUCCUCUGACGUUAGCGGCGGACGGAUGAGUACCACGUGGAUAACCUAACUAUAAGACUGGGAUAAUUUCGGGAAACCGGAGCUACUACCGGAUAAUAUAUUGCACCGCAUUGUUCACUCGUUAAAGUCGGUUUUGCUGUCACUUAUAGCUUGAUCCGCCCCGCAUUAGCUAGUUGGUAAGGGAACGGCUUACCAAGGCGACGAUGGGUAGCCGACCUGAGAGGGAGAUCGGCCACACGGGAACUGAGACACGGUCCAGACGCUGACGGGAGGCAGCAGUAGGGAAUCUUACGCAAGGGGGGAAAGCGUGACGGAGCAACGCCGCGGGAGGGAUGAAGGUCUUCGGAUCGGAAAACUCUGUUAUUAGGAAAGAAGAAAUGUGUAAGUAACCAUGCACGUCUUGACGGUACCUAAACAGAAAGCCACGGCUAACUACGUG
rnacentral:rRNA from 1 species